GACGAACGCUGGCGGCGCGCUUAACACAUGCAAGUCGAGCGAUGAAAUCUUGACAGAUCCCUUCGGGGUGAAGAUAAGAUGGAUUAGCGGCGGACGGGUGAGUAACACGUGAGUAACCUGCCUUAGACAUUGGGAUAGCCUCGGGAAACCGGGAUUAAUACCAAAUGAAAUCAUAGGUGCCCAUGCACUAAUGAUCAAAACUCCGGUGGUCUAAGAUGGACUCGCGUCCCAUUAGCUAGUUGGUGAGGUAACGGCCCACCAAGGCGACGAUGGGUAGCCGGCCUGAGAGGGUGAACGGCCACAUUGGAACUGAGAAACGGUCCAAACUCCUACGGGAGGCAGCAGUGGGGAAUAUUGCACAAUGGAGGGAACUCUGAUGCAGCGACGCCGCGUGAACGAUGAAGGCUUUCGAGUCGUAAAGUUCUUUUAUAUGGGAAGAUAAUGACGGUACCAUAAGAGAAAGCCCCGGCUAACUACGUGCCAGCAGCCGCGGUAAUACGUAGGGGGCUAGCGUUGUCCGGAAUCACUGGGCGUAAAGGGUUCGCAGGCGGAAAUGCAAGUCAGAUGUAAAAGGCAGUAGCUUAACUACUGUAAGCAUUUGAAACUGCAUAUCUUGAGAAGAGUAGAGGUAAGUGGAAUUUUUAGUGUAGCGGUGAAAUGCGUAGAUAUUAAAAAGAAUACCGGUGGCGAAGGCGACUUACUGGGCUCAUUCUGACGCUGAGGAACGAAAGCGUGGGUAGCAAACAGG
rnacentral:rRNA from 1 species